rnacentral:rRNA from 1 species
CAUAUCAAUAAGCGGAGGAAAAGAAACCAACAGGGAUUGCCCCAGUAACGGCGAGUGAAGCGGCAACAGCUCAAAUUUGAAAUCUGGCUCCGGCCCGAGUUGUAAUUUGUAGAGGAAGCUUUUGGUGAGGCACUUUCUGAGUCCCCUGGAACGGGGCGCCAUAGAGGGUGAGAGCCCCGUAUAGGUAGAUGCCGAGCCUCUGUAAAGCUCCUUCGACGAGUCGAGUAGUUUGGGAAUGCUGCUCAAAAUGGGAGGUAAAUUUCUUCUAAAGCUAAAUAUUGGCCAGAGACCGAUAGCGCACAAGUAGAGUGAUCGAAAGAUGAAAAGCACUUUGAAAAGAGGGUUAAACAGCACGUGAAAUUGUUGAAAGGGAAGCGCUUGUGACCAGACUUGCGUCGGGCUGAUCAUCCGGUGUUCUCACCGGUGCACUCUGCCCGGCUCAGGCCAGCAUCGGUUUUCGCGGGGGGAUAAAGGCCCGGGGAACGUAGCUCCUCCGGGAGUGUUAUAGCCCUGGGCGCAACGCCCCCGCGGGGACCGAGGUUCGCGCAUCUGCAAGGAUGCUGGCGUAAUGGUCACCAGCGACCCGUCUUGAAACACGGACCAAGGAGUCAAGGUUUUGCGCGAGUGUUUGGGUGUAAAACCCGCACGCGUAAUGAAAGUGAACGUAGGUGAGAGCUUCGGCGCAUCAUCGACCGAUCCUGAUGUUUUCGGAUGGAUUUGAGUAGGAGCGUUAAGCCUUGGACCCGAAAGAUGGUGAACUAUGCUUGGAUAGGGUGAAGCCAGAGGAAACUCUGGUGGAGGCUCGCAGCGGUUCUGACGUGCAAAUCGAUCGUCAAAUCUGAGCAUGGGGGCGAAAGACUAAUCGAACCAUCUAGUAGCUGGUUACCGCCGAAGUUUCCCUCAGGAUAGCAGUGUUGUUCUUCAGUUUUAUGAGGUAAAGCGAAUGAUUAGGGACUCGGGGGCGCUAUUUAGCCUUCAUCCAUUCUCAAACUUUAAAUAUGUAAGAAGCCCUUGUUACUUAAUUGAACGUGGGCAUUCGAAUGUACCAACACUAGUGGGCCAUUUUUGGUAAGCA